GCCGUACAAAAACCUCUCAAACAAACAAACUCACCAAAAUUAUUCUGAUUUAAUAUUUUGUCUGCUUGUUUAAAAAAGGACGAUGACACAACACAACAAUUUUAGAUUCCUAAUUUUUCCAUAUUUAUUCAUUUUAAAGUAAAAUCUACCUUUUUCAGCAAUUCAUUAAAUAACAGAAAAGACAAUCAGAGUAAAAGUUACUCAAACACAUAAAACCUAAAGUACAUGGAAAUAAGUAUUAACACAUCCUGAUCAAUACUCUGAUCAGCUGAUUGAUCCAUUGAUAAAACAGCAUGAUCAGAGUGAUCCAAGUCCCUGCUGGAGUCAGUCAGAGCAUUUCCAUAGAGAGCCACUUUGCAUCAGCAGCACCAUGCUCCAGUGCUCUGGGAGAGUUUAUAGUCCUGAGAGUUGAAGACUGGAUGACUGACAGCUGUCCUUCAUGACAACAGAAGACACAGAAAUCCUCCUCAUCAGAAACAUGACUUUGGUCUCCGUCCUCAUCUGGACUCUCCUCUGCUGCUGCUUCACAGAGUCCAGAGGACAGGUCACAGUGACUCAGUCUGGAGCAGUGAGCUCUGCUCUGGGAGGCUCCGUCACCAUCAGCUGUAGGACCAGUCAGGCUGUUUAUGGCUCAAACCGUUUAGCCUGGUACCAACAGAGAGAUGGAGAAAAACCUAAACUCCUUAUUUACUAUGCUACCACUCGAGCAUCAGGGAUUCCAGCUCGUUUUACAGGCAGUGGAUCAAACUCUGACUUCACUCUGACCAUCAGUGGAGUCCAGACUGAAGAUGCAGCAGUUUACUACUGUCAGAGUCUCCACUAUAUCAACAGUCAGUGGGUGUUCACACAGUGA